AGCUCCAAUAGCGUAUAUUAAAGUUGUUGCGGUUAAAAAGCUCGUAGUUGGAUUUCUGUUGAGGUCGGGCGGUGUACACCUCGUGUAUUAUUUGCUUCGGUCUCGGCAUCCUCUUGGGGAACGUUCAGGACUUUAUUGGACUGGGCGAGAUUCAAGACUUUUACUUUGAGGAAAUUAGAGUGUUCACGGCAGGCAAGUGCUUUGAAUACAUUAGCAUGGAAUAAUAAUAUAGGACCUUCGUUCUAUUUUGUUGGUUUCUAGAACUUAGGUAAUGAUUAAUAGGGACAAUUGGGGGCAUUCGUAUUAACGCGUCAGAGGUGGAAUUCUUGGAUUGCGUUACGACGAACUACUGCGAAAGCAUUUGCCAAAGAUGUUUUCA
rnacentral:rRNA from 1 species